ACAGAGGGUGCAAGCGUUAAUCGGAUUUACUGGGCGUAAAGCGUGCGUAGGCGGUUAUUUAAGUCGGAUGUGAAAGCCCUGGGCUCAACCUGGGAACUGCAUUCGAUACUGGGUAACUAGAGAUCGGUAGAGGGCGGCGGAAUUCCGGGUGUAGCGGUGAAAUGCGUAGAUAUCCGGAGGAACACCGAUGGCGAAGGCAACCGCCUGGGCCUGAUCUGACGCUGAGGCACGAAAGCGUGGGGAGCAAACAGG
rnacentral:rRNA from 1 species